rnacentral:rRNA from 1 species
CUGGCUCAGGACGAACGCUGGCGGCGUGCUUAACACAUGCAAGUCGAGCGAGGAGAUCGUUGGAAGUCCUUCGGGGCGGAAGAUGAUGUCCUAGCGGCGGACGGGUGAGUAACGCGUGAGCAAUCUGUCCCAUACAGGGGAAUAACACUUGGAAACAGGUGCUAAUACCGCAUAAGACCACGGAGCGGCAUCGCUUUGAGGUAAAAGGAGCGAUCCGGUAUGGGGUGAGCUCGCGUCCCAUUAGAUAGUUGGUGAGGUAACGGCCCACCAAGUCGACGAUGGGUAGCCGACCUGAGAGGGUGAUCGGCCACAUUGGAACUGAGACACGGUCCAGACUCCUACGGGAGGCAGCAGUGGGGAAUAUUGGGCAAUGGGCGCAAGCCUGACCCAGCAACGCCGCGUGAAGGAAGAAGGUUUUCGGAUUGUAAACUUCUGUCCUUGGUGACGAACACAAUGACGGUAGCCAAGGAGGAACCCCCCGGCUACUACGUGCCAGCAGCCGCGGUAAUACGUAGGGGGCAAGCGUUGUCCGGGAAUGGCUGGGGCGUAAAGGGCGUGUAGGGCGGCAAUUAAGUUCUGAAGUGGAAGUCCUGCUUUUUAAGGUGGGAAAUUGCCUUUUGGAGACUGGUUGGCUUGAGUGCGGAAGAGGUAAGUGGAAUUCCCAGUGUAGCGGUGGAAAUGCGUAGAGAUUGGGAGGAACACCAGUGGCGAAGGCGACUUACUGGGCCGUAACUGACGCUGAGGCGCGAAAGCGUGGGGGAGCGAACAGGAUUAGAUACCCUGGUAGUCCACGCUGUAAACGAUGAAUGCUAGGUGUUGCGGGUAUCGACCCCUGCAGUGCCGCAGUAAACACAAUAAGCAUUCCGCCUGGGGAGUACGGCCGCAAGGUUGAAACUCAAAGGAAUUGACGGGGGCCCGCACAAGCAGCGGAGCAUGUUGUUUAAUUCGAAGCAACGCGAAGAACCUUACCAGGUCUUGACAUCCAGUAAAUCCUGUAGAGAUACAGAGUGGGCUUCGGUCCAUACUGAGACAGGUGGUGCAUGGUUGUCGUCAGCUCGUGUCGUGAGAUGUUGGGUUAAGUCCCGCAACGAGCGCAACCCUUAUUUCCAGUUACUAACGUGUAAAGGCGAGGACUCUGGAGAGACUGCCGGGGACAACUCGGAGGAAGGUGGGGACGACGUCAAAUCAUCAUGCCCCUUAUGACCUGGGCUACACACGUGCUACAAUGGCCACCACAGAGAGGUGCGAAAUCGCAAGGUAGAGCAGAUCUCAAAAAAGUGGUCCCAGUUCGGAUUGUGGGCUGCAACCCGCCCACAUGAAGUCGGAGUUGCUAGUAAUCGUGGAUCAGCAUGCCACGGUGAAUACGUUCCCGGGCCUUGCACACACCGCCCGUCA